GAUGAACGCUGGCGGCGUGCCUAAUACAUGCAAGUCGAGCGAACGGACGAGAAGCUUGCUUCUCUGAUGUUAGCGGCGGACGGGUGAGUAACACGUGGAUAACCUACCUAUAAGACUGGGAUAACUUCGGGAAACCGGAGCUAAUACCGGAUAAUAUUUUGAACCGCAUGGUUCAAAAGUGAAAGACGGUCUUGCGGUCACUUAUAGAUGGAUCCGCGCUGCAUUAGCUAGUUGGUAAGGUAACGGCUUACCAAGGCAACGAUGCAUAGCCGACCUGAGAGGGUGAUCGGCCACACUGGAAGUGAGACACGGUCCAGACGCCUACGGGAGGCAGCAGUAGGGAAUCUUCCGCAAUGGGCGAAAGCCUGACGGAGCAACGCCGCGUGAGUGAUGAAGGUCUUCGGAUCGUAAAACUCUGUUAUUAGGGAAGAACAUAUGUGUAAGUAACUGUGCACAUCUUGACGGUACCUAAUCAGAAAGCCACGGCUAACUACGUG
rnacentral:rRNA from 1 species